UCUAUGGGUACAAACAUACCCUAAAAUCCAUAAACUCUUUUAAACAAUAACAAAGAAAAAGAAAAUAAGAACACAAAUCCCUGUUUCCCGCGCACUGCCUCCACUGCGAUUGCUGGCUAUCACCAUCUUAAUCUGCGUCGGCUGUGUUGUCACCGCCGCGACGGAACCUACGAUUACCACUGCGACCUGCGGCGGCGGAUCUGCGAGACCACUGCAAUCCGUUGCGCGGAAACUUUUCCUGCUCGUGACUGACUCAAAGGCGCCAAAAAAACUGUUUGAAGUAGUGUUAGAUGAUCAAAUAUACUUCCACACUAGGUUGUUGAUAGCGAGCUAUAGCGGCAUAGCGCAGCAGUACAGGACCUCGGCGCCACACUUUUGGGCUGCUAACCACUAUCCACGAUAGUGGAAAUAGCAGCCGCUAUUUGUGGAGUCAUGGCGGCACAAUAGCAGCACAAUAGUGAUUUUGUAGCGGUUUAUAGACCGCCAUUGUGAAGAUGAGGGCAAUAUUGUCAUUUCCAGUUCUCUCUUCACUCAAAUCAGCAAGCAGUGAUUCUUUUGACUUAAAAGUUUAUAGUUCUCUCUCUUCACAAAUUUUCUUCUUCCACAUUCUUCUCAAAUCAGGAAGCAUCCAUCUUUCUCAUCCAUUUUUCUUCUCAAAUUAGAAAGCAUCCAUCUUUCUCAUCCAUUCUUCCUCGUUUAUCUUCACCUAUUCAUCUUUUUCUUCACUUUCUCAUCCAUUCACAUCUAUUUUCCCCCUGAUUUGCUGAUUUCUCAUCUAUUAGCAACUAUGGCAUAAUCUUCUGCAUGUUUAACACAAACUUCCAACACAAACUUCCAACACAAAAGUUUUUUUAAACCUAUUGGUGACAAUAUUGACAUAGGGUGACAAUAUUUGUUUAGGUUUGUUUACAUUUAGAAUAUUGUUUAGUCAUUUUGAGUUCAUUUAUAAUUUGAUUUUGACGGGAAUUUUAUUGUGGUGCUGUUGGAAUGUAUGCAUGUUGUUACUUCUGUUAUUAAGGCAUUAUAUAUGUUGUUGGAAUUU